CCCACCCCAAAGAAUUAUCCUUUCUAAUUAAAUUAAAAAUUUUGGUCGAUUACAUUACUGAUUCAUCCCAAAUUUUAAUUUUAAUUACCGUUGGAAAAAGCAUCACUUACAUUGACCACCUCUUGUCUCCUCUGAGUCAUCUCGAAUUCUCCGGCUGCAACGCCGCCGCCGAUGCCGGCUGCUCAUCGUGGCUUCAGGCGUCGCCGACGUGGAAGCAAUCUUCGUGUUUUAUUUAAUAUGAGGCGGGAUACACGUCACCAUCGACCUCCUCACGGACUCGCCGUCUAAUUUCGGUGACGCCGAUUCUCGCCGAGCUGUGAGAGGCGCUCCAGGAUCCACUGAGCAGUCGCUGCCGUCGGAGGCUCACUUCGGUCGGUGUCAUACUCCACCCAUAUCGGCUGCAUUGUCACUGUCAAUUUCGUCUUAGUGCGUAGAGAAUCUGUCAGGUCAAGGAAACAGAAGGAGAAAUCUACUAAACAGAGGAAACUGAAGGAAAAUGGAGUGAAGAAGCCAGCUGCAACCUUACCUAGGAGAUUGCGGAAGCAGCUGUGAGCGGAAAAGUAUCUUUUUGAAGGACUUUCUAGGAGGGCAAAAUCGACAAAUCAUCAGAGAAAUUACCCUAGAUGUUCGAGCCUAAGCUAUAAAUAGACACACGACAUGAAGAGAGGGAUGACUCAUCACAUUCACUUUUCGCUCUUAGAUCAUCACUUCACACACAUAUUUCUCUGCGCACUAAAGCAAUUAUGGGGUAAAUUCUGGGAGUUCGUGGUAGCCUAAUCCAAUUACUGUUGUGUAACAUCGUCCUCGUGAAGGGCGAAGAUAUAAUUUACUGUUUUCUGUCGUUUUCUGUCGUUUUAAGCCGAGACUUCAUCGUUUUAGAAGCUCGGUGUGAUUUGUUUCAGUGUUGAACCUUAAAUAUCGUAGUUAUGGAAGUUUACGUUUUCUAUUCA